AGCUGGAAGAAGGACAGACAGAGGAGAGGAGGAGAAAGAAGAAAGUGAAACUAGAGAGGGAGAGAACAGGGAGAGGCCACGCUGAGAGGUCGUGUUUGAUGAGAACUCUGGAUCUCCUACAGAUAGACAAUGAGAAAGGUCGGCUCAACUCAGCCAAAAUAGAAACAUGGAGGAGGCGGGUAGAGGACAAAAGACGAGGCAGACGGAGGAAGAAGAGGAGGAGGAGGUGAAGGAGAAGGGGAGGGAUGAGACAGGAGGAGGACCCCAUCGGACAGGAGUAGCAGCUCCAAUUAAGAUUGGUCACCAGAUAAGGAGAUCUGUGUGUGUUCGUGUGUGUCUGUGAGUGUGGCGCAUGAGUCAGUAAAAGCCUCCUUCAGCGUUAAGUGUAUGCGUAUAUAUUAGGAUGUUUGUGUAUUCAUGCAGCUGUUCCUGGUUCUCUGAGUUUGUGAGUUUACAGGCAUCCUUGCAUGCAUUUGUAAGCGUUUAUGCAGAUUUGUGUUUAGCUGUAGAGUGUGUGUGUGUGUGUGCGUGUGUGUGUGAGAGAACUGGCUUCCGUGGAAAUAUAUGCGUGCAUAUGUUUAUUUUCGUACCUGUGGUUUCAGAACCUGUGCAUGUUCUCUGCAUGUGAGCGCUCACAUAUGUCUCUUUGAGGGUGGGUUUAUCCUCCUAUACUUACAUGUCCAUAUAUGAAUAUACAUGAGUGAGGCACAUCCGAUAUAUAUAUAUGUGUGUGUGUGAGCUUCAAUUUGUGGGUGCUAAUUAGCCUCGCAGUAAUUAAUUCCACCGCCACACAGCAUUUUCCACACUGACCUUGGCUGCCACGGCGGUCGCUGUGGGGAUAGUGUCAAUCAGAUCUGGCUAAUGUGGACGAUGUGAGCGUUACUGUACUUCGGCAGGCCAAGUGGACAUCCAGCCGAUCUGUGAACUGUGCAUUUUGUGUGCGUGGGAGGAUGAAGUGCUAUGUUUGUAUGUGAGCGAGCGCAGAUGAUAGGAUGAAGAAUUUCCGUGCUGCUCAUCUGUUGCUAGUGGAAACAGAUGAUCUUUCAGCCUCGUACAAGGACGGCGGGGCAGAGUGUCAACACCCCCGCUGUGGCUCAAUCUUUCCUGCUCCAGCGUCUCCGUCUAUUGUUGCCUCUGCCCUUGUCUGUCUUUGUCUGACGCUCUAUUUUCUUUCAUGACACUCAGUCUAACCAAUAAACCACAGAAGACUAAGGAUCAAGAUGAAACAGUCUGAAUAGCCCGGUCCAUCAUUAUUUCAUUUUUUCUGAUCAAUAUAAUAUGAGUAAGGUAAAUUAUUUACACUCUGUCAUCACCUUUGAGAUGUUCCACCUCCACAAUCAUUAUGAGCGGUUAAUUACUUCUUGCAUUCAGGAAUAUGGUUCCAGAGUGACACCUUUCACACCUAAAAGCACAUGAUUAUCCCUUAGUUGAACCAUGACUACUGCACGCAGGAUGACGAAUCAUUCUAAAAUAGCAGUGUGCUGCUGCUUUGUCACUGAUCCACCUUGUAGGCUGUCUCCUCUUCCACUUACAGAAUGCACAGCGGGUAUUUCAGCCUCAUUCUUUGCCAAAAAUGUCGCUGAACUGAUGGAAAACGUCACAACAUACCAUUACAAUAACGGAGGAAAAGUAUCCUCACAGCAGCAGAUGUCUAAAGAAGAAUCUCUAAAAGGGGAAACACUCGCUUGUUUGACACGAUCACAAGAAAGUGUAGAAACAAUUAUGAGGAUGUCCAUCUGUGCUGGUGGGUUGCAUUAUGCUGUGCGUUAAAACUUUGUGCUUCGCUGCUCAACACGACUUAUCAUGCAUCCCAGUAGCAACUCCUCAAGAUCAUCCAGCUUGGAAAGUUAGGAUGGCUCACGGGCGAUGAAACCUUCCUAUCACAUCUACCUGCUGAGCUUUUCUGAGCAAAUGUUCACCUUGACUCGCCUGUUUGUGAACUCUUUGUUAAUUGAAGUAACCAAGCAUUCUUCUGUCUUUGUCUUGACAGGUCCAGCUGUUGGAUUACACUCUCAGAAGGCUCACAGGGGUGGAUACGACUUCCAGGAAGACAGGUUUAUGAUGGCCUUCUGACUUAUGGAAACUAGACGAUGGAGGCUCAUUGGUCACAGGAGGAGGUCUGUUCCCAGUGCCCACCAUUCUAGAACCUUGAAGACCUGUAAGGAAAUAGAGCUGCUAUAACUUUUAAUUGAAAUGAGACACGAAUCUGCCUUUCCAGGUCGGUAUUGUUAAAAAUAAAGGCUGUUGUUUCAAUGGAGAUUAAUAAAUAAGCAAGAAUUCCUUGUGGGCCACAGCUGAA